AGAGUUUGAUCAUGGCUCAGAGCGAACGCUGGCGGCAGGCUUAACACAUGCAAGUCGAACGGGCGUAGCAAUACGUCAGUGGCAGACGGGUGAGUAACGCGUGGGAACGUGCCUUUUGGUUCGGAACAACCCAGGGAAACUUGGGCUAAUACCGGAUAAGCCCUUACGGGGAAAGAUUUAUCGCCAAAAGAUCGGCCCGCGUCUGAUUAGCUAGUUGGUGAGGUAAUGGCUCACCAAGGCGACGAUCAGUAGCUGGUCUGAGAGGAUGAUCAGCCACACUGGGACUGAGACACGGCCCAGACUCCUACGGGAGGCAGCAGUGGGGAAUAUUGGACAAUGGGCGCAAGCCUGAUCCAGCCAUGCCGCGUGAGUGAUGAAGGCCUUAGGGUCGUAAAGCUCUUUUGUGCGGGAAGAUAAUGACGGUACCGCAAGAAUAAGCCCCGGCUAACUUCGUGCCAGCAGCCGCGGUAAUACGAAGGGGGCUAGCGUUGCUCGGAAUCACUGGGCGUAAAGGGUGCGUAGGCGGGUUCUUAAGUUAGAGGUGAAAGCCUGGAGCUCAACUCCAGAACUGCCUUUAAUACUGGGAAUCUUGAGUUCGGAAGAGGUGAGUGGAACUGCGAGUGUAGAGGUGAAAUUCGUAGAUAUUCGCAAGAACACCAGUGGCGAAGGCGGCUCACUGGUCCGAUACUGACGCUGAGGCACGAAAGCGUGGGGAGCAAACAGGAUUAGAUACCCUAGUAGUCC
rnacentral:rRNA from 1 species